AUUGCGAAGGCAGCUUGCUGGACUGUAACUGACGCUGAGGCACGAAAGCGUGGGGAUCAAACAGGAUUAGAUNCCNUGGUAGNCCACGCCGUAAACGAUGAAUGCUAGCUGUUAGCGAUAUACUGNUAGCGGCACAGAGAAAUCGUUAAGCAUUCCACCUGGGGAGUACGCCGGCAACGGUGAAACUCAAAGGAAUUGACGGGGGCCCGCACAAGCGGAGGAACAUGUGGUUUAAUUCGAUGAUACGCGAGGAACCUUACCUGGGCUUAAAUUGCAGUGGAAUAACGUGGAAACAUGUUAGCCUUCGGGCCGCUGUGAAGGUGCUGCAUGGUUGUCGUCAGCUCGUGCCGUGAGGUGUCGGCUUAAGUGCCAUAACGAGCGCAACCCUCAUCGAUAGUUACUAACAGGUUAAGCUGAGGACUCUAUCGAGACUGCCGACGUAAGUCGUGAGGAAGGUGGGGAUGACGUCAAAUCAGCACGGCCCUUACGUCCAGGGCUACACACGUGUUACAAUGGGGGGUACAAAGGGCAGCUACCUGGCGACAGGAUGCUAAUCUCAAAAACCUCUCUCAGUUCGGAUUGGAGUCUGCAACCCGACUCCAUGAAGCUGGAUUCGCUAGUAAUCGCGCAUCAGCCACGGCGCGGUGAAUACGUUCCCGGGCCUUGUACACACCGCCCGUCAAGCCAUGGGAGCCGGGGGGACCUGAAGUAUGCAACCGUAAGGAGCGUCCUAGGGUAAAACUGGUGACUGGGGCU
rnacentral:rRNA from 1 species